GACGAACGCUGGCGGCGUGCCUAAUACAUGCAAGUAGAACGCACAGUUUAUACCGUAGCUUGCUACACCAUAGACUGUGAGUUGCGAACGGGUGAGUAACGCGUAGGUAACCUGCCUGGUAGCGGGGGAUAACUAUUGGAAACGAUAGCUAAUACCGCAUAAUAUUGAUUAUUGCAUGAUAAUUGAUUGAAAGAUGCUAUUGCAUCACUACCAGAUGGACCUGCGUUGUAUUAGCUAGUAGGUGAGGUAACGGCUCACCUAGGCGACGAUACAUAGCCGACCUGAGAGGGUGAUCGGCCACACUGGGACUGAGACACGGCCCAGACUCCUACGGGAGGCAGCAGUAGGGAAUCCUCGGCAAUGGACGAAAGUCUGACCGAGCAACGCCGCGUGAGUGAAGAAGGUUUUCGGAUCGUAAAGCUCUGUUGUAAGAGAAGAACGGGUGUGAGAGUGGAAAGUUCACACUGUGACGGUAUCUUACCAGAAAGGGACGGCUAACUACGU
rnacentral:rRNA from 1 species